CAGCAGCCGCGGUAAUACGGAGGGAGCUAGCGUUGUUCGGAAUCACUGGGCGUAAAGCGCACGUAGGCGGCUAUUCAAGUCAGGGGUGAAAGCCCGGGGCUCAACCCCGGAACUGCCUUUGAAACUAGAUAGCUUGAAUCUUGGAGAGGCGAGUGGAGUUCCGAGUGUAGAGGUGAAAUUCGUAGAUAUCCGGAAGAACACCAGUGGCGAAGGCGACUCGCUGGACAAGUAUUGACGCUGAGGUGCGAAAGCGUGGGGAGCAAACAGGAUUAGAUACCCGAGUAGUCCCUGUCUCUUAUAC
rnacentral:rRNA from 1 species